CAGUCUAACAGUUCUUUUAGAAUUUGACUAGCAGGUUUUGAGGAUUCUGCUGAAAACCUAU
ensembl:snRNA U7 U7 small nuclear RNA